GGAGAGGAAAGUCCAUGCUCACACGGAUCUGCGAUGACCGUAGUGAUCGCGCUCAGCGAAACAAUAAGCUGGGGCAGCAGUGAUGCUGACGGCGGGUAGAACGCCUAAGUCUUUGGAUAUGGCCGAAAUACCCUGAAGGUGCCACAGUGACGGAGCUGUAUAGGAAACUAUGCAGGUGGAACGAGGUAAACCCCGCGAGUGAGAAACCCAAAUUAUUGUAGGGGCACUUUUC
rnacentral:RNase_P_RNA from 1 species